AGAGUUUGAUCCUGGCUCAGAACGAACGCUGGCGGCGUGCCUAACACAUGCAAGUCGAACGCGAAAGUCCUUCGGGAUGAGUAAAGUGGCGCACGGGUGAGUAACACGUAGGUGACCUGCCUUUUAGAGGGGAAUAACCRGAUGAAAAUUUGGCUAAUGCCGCAUACGAAGUACAAAUCUAAAAGUAGUACUUGAAAGGAUGCCUCUGUAUAUGCAUCCACUAAAAGAUGGGCCUGCGGAACAUUAGCUAGUUGGUGGGGUAAAGGCCUACCAAGGCAACGAUGUUUAUCCGGUCUGAGAGGAUGAUCGGACACACUGGAACUGAGACACGGUCCAGACYCCUACGGGAGGCAGCAGUGGGGAAUAUUGCGCAAUGGGGGAAACCCUGACGCAGCAACGCCGCGUGAGUGAGGAAGGACUUCGGUCUGUAAAGCUCUGUUAAUGUGGAAAAAUGGUAGCUGGUCUAAUAGGCCGGCUAUUUGAUGGUACACAUAGAGGAAGCACCGGCUAACUUCGUGCCAGCAGCCGCGGUAAUACGAAGGGUGCAAGCGUUGUUCGGAUUUAUUGGGCGUAAAGCGCGCGUAGGCGGACCUGUAAGUCAGAUGUGAAAUCUCGGGGCUCAACCCCGAAACUGCGUCUGAAACUGCAGGUCUAGAAUCUUGGAGGGGGAAGGGGAAUUUCGCAUGUAGGGGUAAAAUCCGUAGAUAUGCGAAGGAACACCAGAGGCGAAGGCGCCUUCCUGGACAAGUAUUGACGCUGAGGCGCGAAAGCGUGGGGAKCAAACAGGAUUAGAUACCCUGGUAGUCC
rnacentral:rRNA from 1 species